rnacentral:rRNA from 1 species
AGUCGAGCGAACAGACGAGGAGCUUGCUCCUCUGACGUUAGCGGCGGACGGGUGAGUAACACGUGGAUAACCUACCUAUAAGACUGGGAUAACUUCGGGAAACCGGAGCUAAUACCGGAUAAUAUAUUGAACCGCAUGGUUCAAUAGUGAAAGACGGUUUUGCUGUCACUUAUAGAUGGAUCCGCGCCGCACUAGCUAGUUGGUAAGGUAACGGCUUACCAAGGCAACGAUGCGUAGCCGACCUGAGAGGGUGAUCGGCCACACUGGAACUGAGACACGGUCCAGACUCCUACGGGAGGCAGCAGUAGGGAAUCUUCCGCAAUGGGCGAAAGCCUGACGGAGCAACGCCGCGUGAGUGAUGAAGGUCUUCGGAUCGUAAAACUCUGUUAUUAGGGAAGAACAAAUGUGUAAGUAACUAUGCACGUCUUGACGGUACCUAAUCAGAAAGCCACGGCUAACUACGUGCCAGCAGCCGCGGUAAUACGUAGGUGGCGAGCGUUAUCCGGAAUUAUUGGGCGUAAAGCGCGCGUAGGCGGUUUUUUAAGUCUGAUGUGAAAGCCCACGGCUCAACCGUGGAGGGUCAUUGGAAACUGGAAAACUUGAGUGCAGAAGAGGAAAGUGGAAUUCCAUGUGUAGCGGUGAAAUGCGCAGAGAUAUGGAGGAACACCAGUGGCGAAGG